UGUCUGUUGCACGAACCGUUUUGAUAAAAACAAUAAAACGGGGAAGUUUUACCGAAUCCCAUCAACUCGCACCCCUUUCAAGGCAAACAAGAGACGUCUUUGGUUGCAAGCCAUCAGAAGAAGCGAUUGGAACGAGCAGAUGAUUAAAAAUGCAUCAAUCUGCAGCGAUCACUUUAUAUCAGGAGAGGCAUCAGACGACAUCGAGGGCCCAGACUUUGUCCCGUCUAUCUUUCCAUACUCAAUCCAGCCCGGCAAAGACGGUGUUGCAAAACUGGAGCGAAGGUAUGGUCCCAAAGACUGUCCAUGAUGACCUCCAGCUGAAGUACAGCCAACUUCAUACAGAGUGUGAUAACCUGCGUGAGGACAUCAACAAACUGAAAACAGAAUGAACAAUUAAAAGAAAUGCUCGGGACUGCACAGUUCUCUUUUGCGUCACUGAAGUGUAAAGCAGCACAGGUGCUGUUUUUCACAGGUCUAACCAGUGCCCUCUUUAAUUGGGUCCUGCAGACGGUCAAGGACAGUGUGGAGGUCAUCUGUGGCUCUCUGACCCUAGAGGAUCAUCUUUUGGCUGUACUCAUGAAACUCAGAUUAGGACUCACCAACAAGGAUAUUGCAUUCCGAUUUAAUGUUAACGAAUGUGACAUCUCUAAAAUCUUAAGAAGUUGGCUGCCUAUUAUGUCUCUGAUUUUGAAACCUUUAAUCAAGUGGCCAAGUCAGCAUGCUAUAUUAAAGAAUAUGCCAAAAUGUUUCAAACCUAAAUACCAGCGUUGCAGGUGCAUUAUUGACUGCACAGAAAUUUUUAUUAACAGACCAACAAAUUUAACAGCCAGAGCCCAAACAUAUUCAAAUUAUAAGAGCCAUAACACGGUUAAGUAUU